rnacentral:tRNA from 1 species
GCCAAAAUGAUGGAAUUGGUAUACAUGCUAGGUUUAGGUUCUAGUUUUUUUAAAUUAAGGGUUCAAGUCCCUUUUUUGGUA